AACGCGAAGAACCUUACCCACCUUUGACAUGGCAGGAACUUACCAGAGAUGGUUUGGUGCUCGAAAGAGAACCUGCACACAGGUGCUGCAUGGCUGUCGUCAGCUCGUGUCGUGAGAUGUUGGGUUAAGUCCCGCAACGAGCGCAACCCUUGCCAUUAGUUGCUACAUUCAGUUGAGCACUCUAAUGGGACUGCCGGUGACAAACCGGAGGAAGGUGGGGAUGACGUCAAGUCCUCAUGGCCCUUAUAGGUGGGGCUACACACGUCAUACAAUGGCUGGUACAAAGGGUUGCCAACCCGCGAGGGGGAGCUAAUCCCAUAAAGCCAGUCGUAGUCCGGAUCGCAGUCUGCAACUCGACUGCGUGAAGUCGGAAUCGCUAGUAAUCGUGGAUCAGAAUGCCACGGUGAAUACGUUCCCGGGUCUUGUACACACCG
rnacentral:rRNA from 1 species